rnacentral:tRNA from 1 species
GGGAAUGUGGCUUAGUGGUAGAGUGCUUGCCUACUAUGCAUGAAGCCCUGAGUUCAAUUCCUCAGUACUA